rnacentral:misc_RNA from 1 species
AUAAUAAUAAUAAUAAUAAUCUCUUUAGUAAUAUGUCUAGAUGACAUAUAUAGUUAUAGUAAAAUAACUAAUCAUAUUGCUAUUAAGACUAUGAAUCCUAGAACAACUUAAUUUCGUAAAUAAAAUGAAAUAAAAUAAAAUAAAAUAUAAUAUUAUUUCCUAACAGAACUCUAUAAAUACUUCUAAAUACUAAUAGAAUUCCUAAAGAAUAAAAAUUUAAAUUUCCUAAUUCUACAAUAAAUAUAAUUUCCAAGUUUAGUCUUCUUUUAAUACUGCAUCACCUUCCCACCCUGGUGCUAAUUUCUGACAACUUGAACAUUAAGCUGUUGCUUUCCUCUUUUGGCAUGUACCAAUCCUUGGCAUGGUUUUGUUUGUUGUUGAAAAGGCAUAAGGCAUAGUAUUGUUGAGGACUCCUUGUAUCUUUCUCUGAUCUAUAAAUUCUGUUCUUGCCCUAAAAUUUCUUGCUGAAAUUUAUUUGCAUGGAUGAUAAAUUCAUUAGUAUCAAAAAUGUAUUUAUCUGAAAAAUCUUAAUAAUAAUUAAGGAUUUGAAUUAAAAGUUAUCUAGAGUUUUUAACAUCAAUUUUAUAAAAUAAGAAAAUUGCGUAACAAAAUGAGUUGCAACUUCAUGUCACCAUUGUGAGCAUUCAGAAUUUGCGCCCCUCCAGUAAAGAGUUAUUGGAUUAAGCAUUGAACCUCAAAUAAACCUUGAUGUUUGUCACCAGACAAACUCAUUUCCAAUGCUCAUUAGUUGCUUCCUGCAUACUUGUGCCAUUAUUGUAUAUAUCGAUAAAUCAAUAGGAACAUACCUGUCGAGUGUUUAUUGACAUCAUUGAUUUUCAUGUUUAUAUGCCACUAUUGUGCUUGAUUGGUUUCCAUGUUUAUAAGCCAUUAUGUGCAUGAUUGGGCAACUAUAACCAUCUCUGAAAGUCAAUUUGAGAGAGUCAUUGCCCUAUGAAGGAAGCACCGAUUUGUAAAGCAUCUAAAGAGUGUUACUGAUUUAAGGUGAAACCUAUUUCCAUGUGACAUUGUGUAGGAAGGCACGGAUGGGUUGAAUAUGCAGAAAAGGAUUGGUAUAAUACUUCUCAAGUGCCGCCAGAAUAGCAUGGUUGGCUUUAUUUCAUAAUUGAUCACACAAGGGAUGAGCUCCUGAUGCUAAAACGUAAGAGGUAUGGGGAUGAGCAUAAGGAGAAUCUCUUUGGAGAAGGUGAGGAGUAUAUAUACCAUUCCAAAGGACAUGCUCUCAAUCCUGAUCAGAAGGACUGGACCAGGUAUCAACCUUGGCAACCCGCUAAGUCAGAGUAAUUCUUUGGGGCCACCAACAUCCUGUAAACUUGGAAAUUAUGGCAAUUUGAAUCUAUUCAAAUGAAUAAAGCAUGUGCUUAUUUGAGGCUGUAAAACUUUUGUUCCUGGAGGACUUUGAAUGUCAACUUCAUAUGUUUGGUGAAACUUAUUUUCUCAAUGGUUUUAUUGUGGACUGCUGUCGAUUUUGGUUUUAGUUGCUUAAGUACUGAUGGUGUUAUUGAGCUGAAAACUGCUGCAAAGGAAAUAGUGUUGAGAGACAAUAAAUCUUCACAUUUCUUGUUAAAUUCUGUCUUAGAAAGAUA